rfam:Epilithonimonas sp. FH1 contig01, whole genome shotgun sequence.
CCAUAGCCCCGAUUGCAACGGCAUCCUUUUUUGUGGUGGCGAUGGAAAUUCUCGGAAAAGAUACUUGUCGUCUUUCGCCAUCACAAAAAAGAUAUAGUGGAAAGCGGGAUUAAGC